GGCUUUCAUGUACUCUGCUCCCAUGGGCCUUGGGGUAGAGUUGUACAAUUGAAAAUGCUUGUCCGUGUGUGCGUGUGUGUGUGUGUGUGUGUGUGUGUGUGUAAAAUUAUUAUCAAGGAUUUCAGGGGAGAGGCACUAAGAAUGUGAUUACUCUUUGGGUCAUGGAGUACAGAAGAGGGGGGUGCUGGGGCCUAUUCCAGCUGACGGAGUGCGAAAGGCGGACUACACCCUGAACCAUUCGAACAUUCGACAUUCAAUCCGGGUCUCUCGCAAAAGCGAUGGAUUUCAACUAACUCUUCCAAGACUUUUGCAGGGGGGUGAAAGUAUGACCUUGAGGGGCACCCGCCACUGUAAACAAUGUGAACUGUGGCACAGUGGUGUCCUCAUUACAGCAAAACCAAGGCAUGUGUGCCACCAUGUGCACAUGAGCAAAGCCUUCUGCUGCAUUCUCU